rnacentral:rRNA from 1 species
GAUGAACGCUGGCGGCGUGCUUAACACAUGCAAGUCGAACGGAAAGGUGCUGCUUUUGUGGGUUGCUCGAGUGGCGAACGGGUGAGUAACACGUGAGUAACCUGCACUUAACUGUGGGAUAAAUUCAGGAAACAGGGGCUAAUACCGGAUAGGAGCUCUUGCUGCAUGGUGGGGGUUGGAAAGUUUCGGCGGUUGGGGAUGGACUCGCGGCUUAUCAGCUUGUUGGUGGGGUAGUGGAUUCCCAAGGUUAUGACGGGUAGGCGGCCUGAGAGGUGGACCAGCCACAAUGGGACUGAGAGACGGCGCAGAAGCCUACGGGACGCAGCAGGGGGGAACAUUGCACAAUGGGCGGGAGCCUGAUGUAGCAACGCCGCGUGCGGGAUGAUGUCCUUCGGGUGGUAAACCGCUUUCGCCUGUGACGAAGCGUGAGUGACGGUAAUGGGUAAAGAAGCACCGGCUAACUACGUG